rnacentral:lncRNA from 1 species
GCGAUCCCCAUCCCUUUACCGAACUAAGAAACAUGGCUUCCGUGUCAGUAUCGACCCAUGGAGACUGAUAAAGUUGAGCAUAGAGAAAGCAUUGAUAGCAGCAGAGAAAGGAUUUGAACCACUACCGUUAGAGACCAAAUGUGGACCUCCGAUGAUGAGCACACAUAAUAAAAGCGCAGCCACUGCAGGAUCAGGCUUAACACCUCUGAUAUCCAAAGGGGGGAUGCCAGGGUCACCCGGCGGAAAGUUUUGAAGCCCAAGAAGGCGGUUUUCUGGCUCACCAACCAUGUUCUCUGGCAUUGUGCCCUCACCAAAGAACAAGUAGGGAAAAAAAAAGUACCAAGUAGAGAAAUAAUCUUACAUUCAUGUAAAUGCAUGUUAAUGGUAUUCAUGUUGUUCUACAUCAAACUAAUAUUGCCUGAUGUGGGUGAGGCCAAUCGACCAAGGGCCGUUCCAUAGAGUAGUAUAAAAAGGAAAACUAACGAAAAGUCUAAAAAAAACUCUAGUUUUAAUGAAAAAUGACAAAUAAAGGUGUAGUGAAUAGUAUCAAAAAAGUUAAAAAUAUGAUUUUUCGUUAAAAGUGAAUAGUACCAAGAGUGUUUCGUUAAAACUUCUUAUAAAAUAUCGCUUUGUCAAAAACAUAAUUACCGAGAUUGCCUAACAUUUGGCAUCAUCGCCGAGCUCCUCUGUCUGAACAUUACAUUUGGCUUCAAUGGAAUAAAUAGAAAACUAACUCUAAACAGGAAUGUUCUUUAAUAAUUAAUUGUCAUAAUGCAACGUGAAUAUUAAGAACAAAAGUAACAUCUUCAUGCCAAAAUUUGUGAAAGAUUUUUCAGUGUACCGGGAACAUGGCUUUGAUACACAAAGUGUCAUAUUACAAGUGGUUUGAUACUUGAAAAAAAAAAUCUAAUCAAUUGUAUUAUAAUACUUGAUGUAUCAGACCGUGUUUCCGGUACAUUGAAACAUUUAUCCUUCGUUUUGGAAGCACACUGGGAUGCACCAAUAACAGCUGGCAGCUUGGCACCAAUAAAUAGCCCAUAAAAGGCCCAAUUACACCAUUACAGAAAUGAGCAAUCUUCUCCAACUCGUCAGAGUCGGAACUCAAAAACUCAAAGAAGAGAGUGAGCGAGAGAGGAAGAGAAAGAUAACCAAGAGAAUUGAACGGUGCCGUUUCGCAAGCCAUCUUCUUCCACGAGCCAAAAAAGCUUCGUCCCAAAACCUGCAACUUUCUCCGGGUCAGUUUCAUCCUCCAUUUCCCAUCUCCUUGGUUUUUUUCGUUUGGAUUUUUCUGUUGCAUUUGCAUAUUCUAAUUUUGGGGGGUUUUCGGAUACUAUGCACGUAGUAAUUCAAUUCUCAUGUGAUGCAAAUGAUCGUUUGAACCCUUUGAGUUGUUUUAAUAUUAAUCUUAAUUUUGAUAAUUAAUCAAAAGUUUAGAGUUGAAGUUGUCAUUGAGUUGUUAUUUUUACAAGCCCUUGGAAAAUUAAAGUUUUAUCUCAAUGGAAUUUUGAAUGGAAUGUUGAAUUUCUGUUACUUUUUGCGCUUGCUUGGUAUGUGGAUUGAUCAUAUGAAUUUUGAUCAAGUUGUAUAGGAGUAUGGCAAUGAGAGUGCACCGUGUUUCACUCCAACAGAGUGGCAUUUGUUCCUUUGUGGUUGAGUAUACGGAAUUUAUCCCUUUGGAAUGAUGGAUUUAAGUAUCUGUGACGGGGGAUGCAUUUCGAGGGAAAGGAGGGUCCGAUUGUAGUUGAGGAUAUGAAAAUGGAUAUUUGAAGUGUUUUACCAAAUCGUAAAGUUUGUUUGUUAGCUUUUUAUUUCCCUCCCUCUUGUAUUUUUAUCAACUUGAGGAACAUUAUUAGAAAUGUUUUAAGCUCUUGGUUUUACUAUCUAAGUCAAUAAAAAGCCCAAUUACUGGCUCAAUACAAAACAUUAUUAGAAAUGUUUUAAGCCCAAUAGUCGGCCCAAAAACCAAUGUAGGGCCCGCAGUUGACAAAAACCCUAGCUGUGAGAGAGAGAAUUUGAGAGAGCGAGAAUGGUGUCCGGCUCAGGAAUCCGCGCGAAGCAAGUGGUGGUGGAUAGGCACCACCACAUGCUCGAUCAUCUGGCGCGGUCGUGACCAAGGGCCUUCUCAACGGCCAGCCGAUCGCAGUCGUGCGCACCAAGCAGACCACCAUACCAUGAUUAUAGGGAUAUUCACUUCGGACACCCCAAGAGCAGACCGUCAUACCAUGAUUGUAGGGGUAUUCACUGCGGACACCCCAAGCGAUGUCUCAAACUUGGACGCAGCUGAAGAAUCGAACCGUUACCCAUUUGUCGUCUGGUCCGUCGAGCUCCUCUAAAAAAAUUCCUUUUUCAAACCAAGGGUAGGCUGUGACGAAUGAAACAUCUCAUUGUUCCGUUGUCCUUGUCCGACAUUCUCUAAACAAGUACAAACACUCCAGAGUAGUGCGGUGUGUCAAAGGUGCCAAAGCCAGUUGAAUGACUAGAACUGUCCGGUCUUCAAAAAUGAUCUCUGGACUCCUAAGCACAGGGAAGUACCACUUGAGCCAAAUUUGUACCAUCCAAAGUGGCCCUUGCCGAUUGGUCUGGAAUGGCCUAUCUUUGAUCAUCUUGUCCAACAUCGAGUACAGAUAAGAGAGCACGAAUGGCCCCAUGGCAACAUCUUCAUAGGCAUUCAAUGCCUCAGCCAGAGGAAUCCAUUCCAAUUUGAUGUAUUUGGAGGGAUUUGGAAACAAGAAUUUGUUGAGCCAAUACAACAGGAAAUGUACGUGCUCCUGAUCGGGAUUUGCCCGAAGGGAGUUGGAACUAGAACGUCCCUUGAAAUAAUGCAAAAAUCCUGAGAAAGAGGUGCCUGAGGCCUUGAGCUUGGCCGGAUCGCUAUUCAUUUUCACAAGAAGAAGGAUAGCUCCGACAUUUCCUUUCUUCUUCUUAUUGGUUUCCCUAGGAGCUGCCCAGUCCUUGGUGAUGUCAACACAUUUGCUCGACGGUCGAAGCCCGAACAACUGAGCCAUAUCUAGGAUCGUGGGUGUCAUCGGGCCCAUUAUGAAAUUGAAGGUGUUGGUGGUGUUGUCCCAAAACAUCAUUACUGCACUGAGAAGCUCGAGAUUCAAAGUGAUGCCUUGCUUGGACAGCAUAAUCAGGUCGUGGAUGCCGUUGGAUCGCCAUUUAGCUUCAUGAAUGGGCUUCAAGUUAUCAAUCCAUUGUCCCCACUCUUCACUGGAGGGAGUAGGGAAGCCCUGGGUAGCGUGACUCCAACCUUGUGGACAAAUACCAGUUCUGGUCCUAUAUGGAUUGGGAGUGAUCCAUGUUGCUGCCAGCGGGUUACACUCCACUACAUCUGGGACUGGGCGAGUCUAUGCAGGACCCAGAGAGAAUGCAUCUCUGUGUUCGAAGAACGCAUCAAAAUGAAGAUCAGGCUGAUCUGGGUAGAGCAAUCCAAUCUGAUGUCUGAGUUUGGUAAUGUCGUCACUGAUUUUGUAUCGAGGACGAUUUGAAGCCUUCAUUGGAGAAACUUUGAAAGAACAGAGAAACGGGAAGACUGAGAAUUCGUAAGGAUUGAAGAAAUCAGAAGCAAAAGUAAUAUGGUUCUCAAUCUAGUUUUUUCAUUUUUAUAUGUUUACAAUUUAACGGUCAUUAGUGGCGCAAAUAUUGAUUCUGACUAGGAAUUUGAGAGGUUUAAAUAUAAUUAAAGCCAAUCUUAAUGGUUUAAUCCUGUUUGAAAAAUGGGCAAUGUUCGGACAGAAGAUAAGCAGUUAGGCCUGUUUCUAAGGCCCAACCUUAUUUAUUUCCCAUUUAGCCCAUUAUUUGACAGAUUUAAUAAGCAAAGCCCAUCAGCCCAUUCACAAGGCUAGUCAUAUUUGUUCACACAUUCAUACUUGAGGAACAUCAAAAGGUUGUGCAGGCUUGUAGCUGGAGUAGUAAAUAUCUUGUUCACACAUUCAUACUUAAUAUUUGGUUGCGCAGGUAGAGUUUUAAUCAAUGAGUCGACUCUACAACUUGUAUAACAGUCAUAUCAAACUCUUAUGGAUGUGAUAAUAACUUGAGAUAGUGCAUUCCAUGAUUCUCGCUAACUUGUUUUGUUUGUUUCAAAGACUUUCUAACACAUAUCUUUUGUAUUUUCCUAUUCAUGAUCCUUUAGUCUAGAAAAAUUCUUCUACGCAGUUGUUCGUAUGUAGAAACUAUCAAUUCAAUGGGAUCACAAGGUACCUUGGAUGCUAAGAAAAUAUAACGACUAUUUUGUGAGUGGCCGCACGUACUUAUGACCCUUUAGUCGCACACUAAAAUUUCUCCUUAGACCGAGAUGCAUGUCAACUUUACACUACACUAAAAACACAUCAUAUUGUUAAGGAAAUGCUUGGUAACUUAUCAUUUAACACUCACUUUCAUAUCUAAAUCACUCCAAAAAGAUUUGUUGUGAGAAAAUAUUGUUUGGUUCAUAAAUUUUCUCUAGUGCAUAUCAAAAGAAAGUUCAGUUCCGAACAAGAGUGCACCAGAGAUAACCUCUUGGUUCUACCAUCCAAGUCAAUAAAAAGCCCAAUUACUGUCUCAAUACAAAACAUUAUUAGAAAUGUUCUAAAGCCCAAUAGUCAGCCCAAAAACCGAUGCAAGGCUUGCAGUUGACAAAAACCCUAGCUGUGAGAGAGAGAAUUCGAGAGAGCGAGAAUGGUGUCUGGAUUAGGAAUCCGCACGAAGCGAGUGGUGGUGGAUAGGCACCACCACAUGCUCAAUCAUUUGGCGCGGUUGUGACCAAGGACCUUCCCAACGGCCAGCCGACCGCAGUUGUGCACGCCGAGCAGACCGCCAUAUCGAGAAGUCUGGUGACUGCCUUGUGGAUGUGCUGAUGGGCUUUACUUAUUAAAUCUGUCAAAUAAUGAGAAAUAAAUAAGGUUGGGCCUUAGAAACAGCCCCAACUGAUUAUCUUCUGUCUAAACAUUGCCUAUUUUUUAAACAUGAUUAAGUCAUUAAGAUUGGCUUUAAUUAUAUUUAAACUUCUCAAAUUCCUCGUCAGAACCAAUAUCGGCGCCACUAAUGACUGUUAAACUGUAAACAUAUAAAAAAUGAAAAAACUGGACUGAGAACCAUAUUACCUUUGCUUCUGAUUUCUUCGUUACGAAUUCUCAAUCUCCCAGUUUCUUAGUUCUUUCAAAGUUUCUUCAAUGGCGGCUUCAAACCGUCCCCGAUACGAAACCGAUGACGGCUUCACCAAACUCAGACAUUAGAUUGGAUUACUCUACCCAAAUCAGCCUGAUCUUCAUCUUGAUGCGUUCUUCGAACACAGAGAUGCAUUCUCUUUGGGUCCUGCAUGGACUCGCCCAGUCCCAGAUGUAGUGGAGUGUGACCCGCUGGUAGCAACAUGGAUCACUCCCAAUCCAUAUAGGACCAGAACUGGUCUUUGUCCACAAGGUUGGAGUCACGCUACCCAAGGCUUCCCUACUUCCUCCAGUGAAGAGUGGGGACAAUGGAUUGAUGACUUGAAGCCCAUUCAUGAAGCUAAAUGGCAAUCCAACGACAUCUACGACCUGAUUAUGCUGUCCAAGCAAGGCAUCACUUUGAAUCCCGAGCUUCUCAGUGCAGCAAUGGUGUUUUGGGAUAACACCACUAACACCUUCAAUUUCAGAAUGGGCCUGAUAACACCCACGAUCCUAAAUAUGGCUCAGUUGUUCGGGCUUCGACCGUCGGGCAAAUGUGUUGACAUCACCAAGGACUGGGCAGCUCAAAGGGAAACCAAUAAGAAGAAGAAAGGAAAUGUUGAAGCUAUCCUUCCUUUUGUGAAAAUGAAUAGCGAUCCGGCCGAGCUCAAGGCCUCGGGCACCUCCUUCUCGAGAUUCUUGCAUUAUUUUAAGGAAUGUUCCAGCUUCAACCCCCUUCGGGCAAAUCCCGAUCAGGAGCACGUACAUUUCCUAUUGUGUUGGCUCAACAAGUUCUUGUUUCCAAAUCCCUUCAAAUGCAUCAAAUUGGAAUGGAUUCUUCUGGCCGAGGCAUUAAAUGCCUAUGAUGAUGUUGCCAUGGGGCCAUUUGUGCUGUCUCAUCUGUACUCGAUGCUGGACAAGAUGACCAGAGAUAGGCCAUUCCAGACCAACCGGCAAGGGCCACUUUGGAUGGUACAAAUUUGGCUCCAGUGGUACUUCCCUAAGCUUAAGAGUCCAGAGAUCAUUUUUGGAGAUCGGACAGUACUAGCCAUUCAACUGGCUUUGGCACCCUUGACACACCACACUACUCUGGAAUGUUUGUACUUGUUUAGAGAAUGUCGGACAAUGACAACAGAACAAUGGGGUGUUUCCUUUUUCAGAGCCUACCCUUGGUUUGAAAAAGGAAUUUUUUUGGAGGAGCUCGACGGACCAUAUGAAAAAUGGGGAACGGAUCGAUUCUUCAGCUGCGUCCAAGUUCGAGACAUCGCUUGGUCAUCCCCACUAGUUUGUCUACUCUUCUUAAUCUUAGUUCCAAUAAAUCUAAUUGAUUGGUCAUCCACUUAGAUUUAUCUAAUUAUCUAGAAACAAGUUCACAAUGAUAGCCAGUCACAAUAACAUUCGAGACUAGAAUAGAUUAAGAAUGAAACAUGGCAUGUAAUCGAAUAAUAAUAAACAAGAUAUUUCAGAAAUAAUCAUGUCAUGGCUUCAUCAUAAGCCUUAGAAAAGUAGUUUAAGUACACAUAGUCAUAAUAAAAAUCACAAAAGAAGUCAUGGAAGAAGUGUUGGAUAUAUGUCAACAUUCUGUGAUAAUUUAUAUAUGCUAAUAAUUUAUCUUCCGGAAAAACCUGUAAAGAUAUGGGAAACGUAGUUUUAUCUCUUAUUUUUCCACGCCUAUAUCGCACGUCACUAGGAAAAAUCUUCUCCAACUAGUCAAAGUCGGAACUCUGAAACUCAGAAGAGAGUUGAACGGUGCUGUUUCGCAAGCCAUCUUCUUCCAAGAGCCGAAAAAGCUUCGUCCCAAAACCUGCAACUUUCUCCGGGUCAGUUUCAUCCUCCUUUUCCCAUCUCCUUGGGUUUUUUUCGUUUGGAUUUUUCUGUUGCAUUUGCAUAUUCUAAUUUUUGGGGGUUUUCGGAUACUAUGCACAUAGUAAUUCAAUUCUCAUGUGAUGUAAAUGAUCGUUUGAACCCUUUGAUUUGUUUUAAGAUUAAUCUUAAUUUUGAUAAUUAAUCAAAAGUUUAGAAUUGAAGUUGUUAUUUUAGUUGCUUGGAUUAGGAAAUAUUUUUACAAGCCUUUGGAAAAUUAAAGUUUUAUCUCAAUGGAAUUUUGAAUGGAAUGUUGAAUUUCUGUUACUUUUUGUGCUUGCUUGGUAUGUGGAUUGAUCAUAUGAAUUUUGAUCAAGUUGUAUAGGAGUAUGGCAAUGAGAGUGCACCGUGUUUCACUCCAACAGAGUGACAUUUGUUCCUUUGUGGUUGAGUAUACGGAAUUUAUCCCUUCGGAAUGAUGGAUUUAAGUAUCUGUGACGGGGGAUGCAUUUCGAGGGAAAGGAGGGUCCGAUUGUAUUGUAGUUGAGGAUAUGAAAUUGGAUAUUUGAAGUGUUUAACCAAAUCGUAAAGUUUGUUUGUUAGCUUGAGGAACAUCAAAAGGUUGUGCAGGCUUGUAGCUGGAGUAGUAAAUAUCUUGUUCACACAUUCAUACUUAAUAUUUGGUUGCGUAGGUAGAGUUUUAAUCAGUGAGUCAACUCUACAACUUGUAUAACAGUCAUAUUCUUCAGAAAAUAUAGUGGACAUAACUACCAGUUUUGGGUCGAAAGAUUUCAUAACAAAAACGGGGAUUUCCUUGUUAUCUCCAAAUCAGAAAAGGAAGGCUUUGUCAGAAAUAUUCUCGUCCCUGAAGGUUUUAACUUUUUCGGAUGGAGAAGUUUAGAGGUCUUAUUGUCUGAAAUCCUCCGUGGGGGAAAGAGAGUGGGGGCUACUCAGAGGAAAGUGAAAAGAGUCGGAAAAGAGUUUGUGAACAGCCAGACGGGUGCAGGCCAUCAGGUUUCGUAUAGGGAUGCUGUCCUCGGAGGCAAGACGGCGACAAUUGUGGCACCCACUCGAAAUGCCAAAGAGGAAAUAUGGAUGAAGAAAAUCUGGAAUAAGAGAGACAUUUCCAAGGAAGCCUACAGUUGGGGGAGCGUAGUUGUUUGUGAGAGACAGGUGGUACAUCAACCUUGGAGAGAGGUGGAGGCCUCACUUCGAAAUCUUCUGGGAAUGGAAAUAAGACUCUCGCCUUUCCAAUGCAACAAGGCGUUGUUCGUCUGUCAGAACGAAGAGGAAGCAACCAAAAUUGCUCAACUUGGAACUCUAGCCAUGAAAAAGCUACCAGACGUGGUGAUGUCUGGAUGGUGGGACAGUAUCAAUUCAAAUCACAGAAAGGUGGUUAGUUAUGGCGGUUGGGUUGCUCUGGAAGGAUUACCGCCACACCUUUGGACCAAUAAUUUUUUCCUGAAGAUUGGAGAGGCCUGCGGAGGUCUGGUAGAAAUCGACCGAAGAACCGCUAACUUUGAUUUCUGCUCGAAGCAAAAUUAAAAUUGAAACCCAACGACACAGGCUUUAUUCCAGAGUUCGUUGAUGUGGCAGAUGGAGAAUCAGUUUUCAGGGUUAAAAUUCGUCAACUUUCGCCAGCAAAGAGACCUAAUCUUUCGGCUGAAGACGGUGGAGCAACUAAAUCACCAAAUGGAUCUUUGAAGAAGGACCUGAAAAUACAGAGGCUCACCGGAGCUACCCUUCCGGCGAAGGCGGAUAUGCAACAAUCAGUUCCUUUUCCGGGGACACGUGUCUCUUUCCGGAUUGGUGAGUUUGAAUGCCCUGUCACUGUUGGAGCUGACAGAAAGUAUGGUCUGAACAGGCUUUUGACAGAGGAUGCACGGCAUGAGGAGUCUGCAACCCAUGACUUUACUUUCUCUAUUAGCAAGCACGGGUGGCCACUUCAGACAGAAUGUCUGACAGAUUCGGCGAGCUUUAUAGAAGAACAAGAAAAUGCAGAUGCAAAGGAUAAUUUCAAGAAUUCAAAAAGGAAAGAAAGUCUCAGACAAAGGUGCUUUUUGGAAAAUGGCAAAGGCAUGGAAGUAAGUGGGAGAGCAGGUGGCGGUGGUGGUAUGUCCACCGAAGAAGCACAAAGCUCUACAAGUGGGUAUUAUUUUAAUAGAUCAAACAAGGAGGUUAGUCUAAAAAGUAAAGAAAAAGCUUUGAUGGUGCGUGGGCCCCUGGUUCACAAGGAGUUUGAUCUAAGUGACUUUGUAAGGCUCGUGGGUCUUGUUCCACAAAAUAAUUAUGCUGGGUCAUGUCUAGGCCCACUUAUUCUAUACUAUGAUGGGCUGAGAUAUCAUUUUCAGUUAGGAAGGGAACUAUCAAACAAGAUCUUUUGGCACUCAGCCAUGUCGGCAGAACCAAAGUUGUCGUAUCGGGUGAGCAACAUGCCAAAUUUUACUACAGAGAUUUUAUUUCAGCGACAACAGGCUAAGGAAGCUCAUUUCGACGGUGUCCCAAAAAAAUCCCCCACUUGUUUCAAUUUGAAGUUUCUUGGGAGAUUUGGUGAAAUAGACAAACUUGGAAAAAGGCUGAAGCUUCUUCUCCCACACGAAUUCGGAUCUAACCAGACUGGUGUCGUAAGGCCUGAAAUGAUGGAAAUCCAUUCCCCCAAUCUUUCCAUCUUAGAUUCUGUUGGUGAAUUAGAGGAAGAAAAGGAGAGUGAUGUUGAUGAAAAUCCUGUUCGGCGAUCGGGCUGGUCGACAGAGGAGAAACCAUUUGAUCAAAGGAUGAGAUGGACAGAGGCUCUUGGAUUGGAUUCGUCUUUUUUAUCAGAUAGUGCUGAAGAAGAAUACAUGUCACAAUCAUCAGAUUCAGAUGAGGAGAAUGGUGACUCUUCACAAGACGAAAAAGAACCAUCUGAUGUUUUUGAUCGGUUCAACGGGGAGCUUCACAACCUCUUCACAGAUACAAAUUUGGAAACAGAGGCGACAGCGGAAGAGGAACCAAGUCAAACGCAUCAUGUAGUAGCAUUAGAAGAUGUGGAGCAGUCCGAUUUCAAGGAUAUUGGAAAAAACAAGAAAAUGUUAAAGUACAGUAGAAGGAAAAGAUCGGCUUGUGUAUCAGUCAAACGCGAGGCACAAGAUCAAUCUUCCAAAUUUUUGUCAAAGAUGAAAGUUUCCUUGUUUCCUCUGAAAAGGUCUUUAUUCCAUGAAAUGAAGACUGGGAAAGUUAAAGUCAGCAAGAGUGAGGGUGGAAGCAAGGGAGACAAGAAAUUUCAAAGGGGUAUUAUCAGACUUAAUGAAGAUAAUUAGCUGGAAUGUUAGAGGAUUGGGAAGUAAACAGAAGAGACUGACAUUGAAACAGCAGUUCCGACGUUUACAGCCCGAUAUCAUUAUCUUACAAGAAACUAAGAAAACAUCAAUCGAUAGGAGACUUGUGGCCAGCGUGUGGGGAAGCAGAUUUAAAGAGUGGAUUUAUGCCCCUGCUCAAGGAAGUUCUGGGGGCAUAGCAGUAAUUUGGAACACCAAAAACAUCUCAGUUACUGAAUCUCUGAUUGGAGUUUUCUCUGUCUCCAUAAAAAUUAAGGCCUUCAACGGGUUGGAAUGGUGGUUAUCAGGGGUCUAUGGCCCUUGCAAAAGUAGAGAGCGAAGGGAGUUCUGGGAAGAAAUGGCUGGCCUUUACGGACUGUGCGGACCAAAAUGGUGUGUAGGAGGGGAUUUUAACGUGGUGAGAUUUGUAAACGAGAAAUCAAAUGGGGGAAGGCUGACUACAAGCAUGAGGAAUUUUAAUGAUUUCAUUCGAGAAACAGAACUCAAAGAUUUGGAAUUGCUUAAUGCUCAAUUUACAUGGUCAAAUUUCAGAGAAGAACCUGUGUGUCGGAGGCUAGACAGAUUUCUGGUCUCUGCAGGUUGUGAAGAGAUUUUUCCAGAGGUAAGACAAAUGGCUUUGGCAAGGGUAAUUUCUGAUCAUUGCCCUAUCCAGCUAGAAUCCAACAAGGUGAAAUGGGGGCCAAGUCCUUUUAGAUUCGAAAACAUGUGGCUACAACAUCCAGAGUUCAGGAACAAGUUCAAUCUAUGGUGGCAAUCUGAGCAGGUGGAGGGAUGGGAGGGUUACAAGUUUAUGAUCAAGUUAAAAGCCAUAAAAAAAAAGGUGCAAAGAUGGAGUAAGGAGAGUUUCGGGGAAGUCGAGAAAGACUUUAAAGAAGCUGAGGCUAGCUUAGAGGAGUUAGAUAGGAGAGAGGGGAUGGAAGGGCUAGAUGUUGAUGCUAGAAGAAAGAGGGAAGAACUACUCUUCCUUGUGGGAGAUUUGGCUUACAAGGAAGAAGUGAAAUGGAGGCAAAGAAGUAAAGUGGAAUGGGCAAAGGAAGGGGAUGGUAAUACUAAAUUUUUCCAUCGAGUUGCAAGCGGGAGAAGGAAGAGAAACUAUAUAGAAAGGUUGGAACCGGAGGUUGGGGGAGUGAUAGAGGAUGCGAACGAGAUAGAAGAUCAUAUAGUCAAUUUCUUCAAGUCCUUGUUUAGUAGCAACGAAGAGGCAUGUUGGGGCUUGGAAGGUAUCAAUUGGGCUCCAAUAAGCGAACUUGAGGCGAAUUGGAUUGAGAGGCCUUUUGAGGAAGCCGAAGUUCAAAGAGCAGUUUUUGAUUGUGGAAAGGAUAAAUCGCCAGGACCGGAUGGCUAUUCUUUGCAAAUGAUUCAACAAUGUUGGGAUAUCUUGAAGGCGAACAUUAUGAAGAUUAUGGAGGAGUUCUACGAGACAGGGAUAAUAAAUGCGGUGACAAAUGAAACUUUUAUUUGUCUAAUUCCGAAGAAGUCAGAUUCUAUGAAAGUGACGGAUUUCAGGCCCAUAAGUCUUGUGACUGGGUUAUAUAAAAUUAUGGCGAAAACCUUGGCCUCAAGAUUAAAGGAGGUUUUGGGCAGCACAAUUUCUCAAAAUCAAGGAGCGUUUGUUAAGGAUCGACAAAUAUUGGAUGCUGUCCUUAUCGCAAAUGAAGUGGUAGAAGAGGUCAGGCAGAAGAAAGAGGAGGGAUUGGUGCUCAAAAUAGAUUUUGAAAAAGCGUAUGAUCAUGUAGAGUGGAGAUUUUGGACGAAGUCUUACAAAGAAAAAGCUUUGGCAACAGAUGGAGGAAAUGGAUGCAGGGAUGCUUAAGUUCCGCAAAUUUUUCUGUUUUGAUUAACGGGAGGCCUAGGGGAAAAUUUCAAGCUUCAAGAGGUUUGAGACAAGGUGAUCCACUGUCACCUUUUCUUUUUACCUUAGUAGUCGAUGUUUUGAGUAGGUUAAUGGAGAAGGCUCAAGAAAAUCAUCUCAUCAAAGGGUUAUGUAUUGGGCAAGAAAAGGUGGAGAUUUAUCAUCUUCAAUUUGCAGAUGAUACCAUUUUUUUCUUGGCGGAAGAUGAGGGAGGUUGGAACAAUCUAUUAGAGCUGCUCAAAUUAUUCUGUUCUGUUUCAGGGUUGAAAAUCAACAAAGCUAAGUGUUAUUUGGCCGGAAUAAAUUCAGAUUGUGAGAAAUUAAAUAGGUUGGCGGAUUCUUGGGGUUGUGAGGUAGGUAGCUGGCCUAUAAAGUAUUUGGGACUCCCUCUUGGGGGUAGGCCAAGAGCACUCAAGUUUUUGGGAUCCAGUGGUAGAUAAGAUGGAAAAAAGACUUCAAAGUUGGAAGAAGGCCUUCUUAUCCAGAGGAGGUAGAUUAACUCUGAUUCAAUAUGUUUUGGGAAGCUUGCCGACCUACUACAUGUCUCUGUUCAAAAUGCCUUGCGGGGUGAUUGGACGCCUAGAAAAACUAAUGAAAGGAUUUUUGUGGGAAGGUGUGGAGGAAGGAAAGAAAAACAACCUGGUAAAAUGGGAGAUAGUUAUUAAAAGUAAAGAGGAAGGAGGUUUAGGGGUGGGGAAUUUGAGGAAUCGGAAUGAAGCAUUACUUGCUAAGUGGUUGUGGAGAUUCCCAAAGGAACCUCAUUCUCUCUGGCACAAAGUGAUAAGAAGCAAAUAUGGGCUACAGGAUAACGGAUGGAACGCAUUUCCUCCGAUAAGGGGUUUCAAGCCGUAGCCCAUGGAAAGAUAUAUCGAUUGGUUCCCAAUUGUUUCUUCACUGCUGUAAGUUCGAGGUGGGCAACGGGGAGAGGGUGAGGUUUUGGGAGGAUGGGUGGUUAGAUGGAGGACCAUUGAAAGAGCAAUUUCCUAGAUUAUUCUUGCUAUCGAGGAAGCACAAUCAGAACAUUUCAAGCUUUGUAGAUCUUUCUACCAAUUCUUUAAGUUGGAAUUUUGAUUUCAGGAGAAAUUUGAAUGAGGCGGAGAUAGAAGAGGCGGCUAGAUUAUUACAGAAAGUGGAAGAGGUCCGAUUGUCUCAAUCAAGAACGGAUAACAGAAGGUGGAAAAUGGAAGCAUCAGGAUUGUUCACAUGCAAAUCCUAUUGUUCCUUCUUGAGUAACAAUGGGAUGAUGCAAUACUUCCAACCCCAUUCACAGAUUUGGAAAUCCAAAGUUCCUCCGAAGGUUAAGAUUCUUGUAUGGUUGGCGGCCAAAGGGAAGCUCAACACUUGUGACCAAAUUCAAAGGAGAAGCCCUUUUAUUUGCUUAUCCCCACAAUGGUGCAGUUUGUGCAAAGCAAAGGAGGAGAGUGUAAACCACAUUUUUCUCCAUUGCUCUUACACGAUUCAGCUGUGGUGGAAACUGUUUCAGGAGGUUAGAGCUAGUUGGGUCAUUCCAAAGGGUUGUUUCGAGCUUCUAAGCACCAAGUUUCAGGCCCUAGGAAGUGGGAGGAAAGCUAAAGCUUUGUGGGGUUGUCUGGUCUCGGCAGUUUUUUGGAACAUUUGGCUGGAGCGUAACAAAAGAAUUUUUGAGGAUUAUACAGGUGUGGGGGUAGAAGUACUUUGGGGAAGAGUAAAAUAUUGGGCAGCCCUUUGGGCGUCAGUCUCAAAUGUUUUUAAUAACUACUCUAUUUCUCAAUUACUGUGGGAUUUGUUAGCAGCAGUAAAGUGAGUUAGGUCUAGCUAAUGUUGCUGUAGCCAAAUCCUAGUGAGAGUUUUUUCUUGUUUCUUGUUAAUGGUGGAUUUCUUAUCCACUCCAGUGUAUUUCUCUUUUCUUCUAUAAAAUGUUUUGUUUCUUCUCAAAAAAAAAAUAAUAACUUGAGAUAGUGCAUUCCAUUAUUCUUGCUAACUUGUUUUGUUUGUUUCAAAGACUUUCUAACACAUAUCUUUUGUAUUUUCCUAUUCAUGAUCCUUUAGUCUAGAAAAAUUCUUCUACGCAGUUGUUCGUAUGUAGAAACUAUCACAUCAAUGGGAUCACAAGGUACCUUGGAUGCUAAGAAAAUAUAACGACUAUUUUGUGAGUGGCCGCACAUACUUAUGACCCUUUAGUCGCACACUAAAAUUUCUCCUUAGACUAAGAUGCAUCUCAACUUUACACUACACUAAAAACACAUCAUAUUGUUAAGGAAAUGCUUGGUAACUUAUCAUCUAACACUCACUUUCAUAUCUAAAUCACUCCAAAAAGAUUUGUUGUGAGAAAAUGCGGUUUGGUUCACAAAUUUUGUCUAGUGCAUAUCAAAAGAAAGUUCAGUUCCGAACAAGAGGGCACCAAAGAUAACCUCUUGGUUCUACCAUCCAAGUGAAUAAAAAGCCCAAUUACUGGCUCAAUACAAAACAUUAAUAGAAAUGUUCUAAGCCCAAUAGUCGGUGUCCGGCUCAGAAUUCGAGAGAGCGAGAAUGGUGUCCGGCUCAGGAAUCCGCGCGAAGCGAGUGGUGGUGGAUAGGCACCACCGCAUGCUCGAUCAUCUGGCGCGGUCAUGACCAAGGACCUUCUCAACGGCCAGUCGAUCAUCUGACGCAGAAGCUGAAGUACAUGAAGUUCCUCAGGAAGCGCAUGAACACCCAACCCUCUCAGGGCCCCAUCCACUACCUCUCUCCCGCCAAAAUCUUAUGGCGCAACGUCUGAGGGUAAUGCCGUAAUUUCAUAAUGCACACUCUGGUCCUCUGUGACCGUUAUAAUGGCGAUUGGUUUGUAUUUUUUCCGGGAUGAUCCGCACAAGUCUAAACGCGGGCUCUGGCGAGGCUGAAGGUUUACGAGGGCAUCCCACCGCCGUAUGACUAGAUGAAGAAGAUGGUGGUUCCUGAUGCUAUCAAGUGAGUAUGGUGGCGGUGUGUCUUUUUGUUUUUGUUUUCUAAGUGUUUGAUGAAUUGCUUCGGUGAAUUGGGGUUUGUGAUCAAUUGUCAAAUUAGGGUUUUGAGGCUUCAGAAGGGCCACAAAUACAGCUUGUUGGGUCAGCUUUUGUCCGAGGUCGGAUGGAAUCAUUAUGACACCAUCAAGGUAAGAUGAAAUUCAACUCAAAAGAUUUAUGCAUUUUGCAAUUCUUGUUUAAUGAUGUCGAAAUUUGUUAACAUUGCCUUUUAUUUGUUGUAAGUAACUUGAAUGUAGAUUGCAUUCUCUUGUAAUUUGAAUGCAGUUUGGAUGUAAUUUGAAUGUAGAUUGUUGUUAGCCACAGCAGAGUCCAUACAUUUGUUAACUUACAGAGUUAUCUUCAUCAUUUGCAUCAUUUCACUUGUCGGUUUUAUGAUGUUUAUGUAUUUAUUCAUCCAUGAAUAUGGUUUUCAUGAUCAUACAUGGCUUUAUAUGUUUUUAAAAUUUCUUGAGAUGUCCUCGAAUUUGGAAGCUGCCUUUAAGCUUGGCAAUAGGUUUGCAUUAUACGUGUUUUUGCAUCCAUGGCAUGAUGUUCUCGGAUUUAUAUGAAUGCAAUGUUACAUUUGUUGGUAAAGUUAUAUGCCAAGUACUGAACAAGAGAAAGGAGAUAGCUGAGUUGGCAUACGAGAGGAAGAAGCUUGGUUGCAGACUGAAAAAUCUGCAGAGGAGAAGCUUGGUUCCCAGCUUCAACUCCUUUAUUCGGUGACAUAUUAAAAGUUUAGGGCUAUGACGUGGUGUCGUCGUCUUUUUUACCCUCCCAGUCAUACGUUCUUUUGUUGAGGAUUACAUCGGUGAGUUUCUUUUGGCUUUUAUUCGGGAUUACAUCGUAGUGAACUUCUUGUCGAGCAUCUCAUUUUGAGGAAUCAGAUCUUUUAUUCUGAUAAGUUUAAAUGAGGAACUUGUUUACCUGUGUUGACUGACUUGAAUCGUAUGGUUCUAAUUUGUUUUAUGAUAUUGUCUUUUUCCAUAAAAAUUUAUGGGUCUCAGUCUUGGUUUCUUUGUUGGCGCCACUUUACUGCCACCAAAAGCCAUGGCGGCUUCCGUUGUGUGCAUAUUGUGUUAACAUGGCUAGAGUUUUGGGUGUUUGCCUGACAUUUUAGCUUGACGUUUUCUAGCCUAUCGGAGAACUAUAAACCUAUUUUUGAACUGAAUUUAAAUUCGGGUAUGAUUUUUGGGUACGUCAUCGGACCGUUGAAGAUGGUCUUAGUAGAGCUAGAGACUCGUGUGGUGUUUGCACAUGUGACAAACUCUGUAAAAUGGGAUUACACUUUUCUAAUCUCGCAAAAUAUUUAGAGAAUAACUCGACUCUAGAACGUACAUUCUUGGAUGAACUUUCCAUGGUACAAAUAGAGGACUGAACAUCCUACAGUAAACCGCAGGAUAACAAAUAUCAAUGGAGGGACGUCUCAUUUACACGAGGGAAUUCGAACAAUGCCCUCCUUUCCGACUCAGCGCUGAAAAAUGCAGACCUCCUCAUGUUCCGAAGUGUUGGGAGUGAGAACUUGGAUUGGUCUUGUAUCUGGACGCUGGCUGAUCAAACACAAAGAAGUUGGCAAGAAAUGUAGAAAACAACCUGCAACAUGUUGAAAUGAUGGUAAAAGGUUUGGAACAAAAUAUUUAAGACAAAAAACUUGAUGAAUAAUUUGGUUUGACAAGAAAUUACCUACUGAAGUUUAGAAUGUGAGGAAUCUCAGGCCAAUAUUCAAUCUUCAUCCUCAUCUUAAUUAACUAAUUGACAAAAAAAAAGAGGUUUGGUCAAUACGCAAUACUGAAGAAGAAAUGUGAGAGAAGGAGAAUUGAACAAAUGAAUUAUUUGUUUUGAGAGAGAAGAAUUACUUUCGAUUUCUGGAAUAUGAGAAAUCUUGGGCCACUCUGUGCCGGUACCCCUGGCGCAUUUUUCCUUCAGAAAGGGACAUUCAAAAAUCCUUAGAUAUUUUAGUUUGGUGAGGCGUCGCAUAGCUUGGGCGGAAGGCAGAGACUUGAGAUUCGUGCAUUUGUAAAUAUGUAGAUGGUUGAGAGAUGUAAGGUCACCCAACCAUUCUGGAAGAGUCUCCAGCCCAUCACACUCAUAUAUUCCAAAGUAUGUUACAGGACUAGUCGAGUGAUUAAUUACUUGAGGCAGAGACUUGAGCUUGGGCCACCCCACUAUUGCCAAGCACUCUGAUGAUGGAAUUUGCGAAACCGGGAAAGAAUCGAGCUCCUCCCAGAAUCCACCAAUCCACAACUUUUCCAAACGAGUCAGAGUGUGUAGACCCGUCGGCAAGUAUUGUAAUUUCUCACAACUACGUAUUGAUAAAUCGGAAAGAGAUUGCAAGCUAGUUACAUCGACAUCUGCCAGAGAUAUCAAUUUUUUGCACCUUUUAAUUUUCAAGUCGACAAGAGAUGUGCAGGAUGUGAGGUUGUCUAAACUGAGAAGAGCCUUUAAAUUCUGACAAUCCUUUAUUCUCAGUUUGCCAAGGGAUGUGCAAUCGUGUAAAGAAAUCUGCCUCAAAUUCUGACAAUCCUCUAUUCUCAGUUCGCCAAGGGAUGUGCAAUCGUGUAAAGAAAUCUCCUCAAGAGUAGUGAUAGAGCCAAUGUUCAAUUCUGGUCCGCUGCAACUUGCAAUAACCAAUCUCCGGAGGGCGGUCAGACUGCUCCCCUCAUCGGCAACUGAACUCCAUCUUAGCAUAGGGCAAUUCACUAUACUCAACUCCUCAAGAGAUUCAUGACCGCCUGGCAGGCUUGAUAGUUGAGCACAAUCUUCAAUUACAAAUUGCCCAAGGGAUGGCGGGAAUACAUCUGAAAUUGGAAUGGAUACCAAGUUUCGGCUACCACUUAUUUUCAAUCUCUCAAGUGCGUUGCAAUUCUCGAUACACAGUGAACCAAGGGAUGUACAAUCCUGUAAAUACAACUCCUCCAUUGUAGUACUACUGACGAUAGACAAUUCCAGUACAUAACUUGCAAUAAGUACCAGUUUCCGAAGGGUCGUCAGACCGUGAUUUGAAAUGCUUAUUAGCUUAGGGCAGUUAUAAAUGGUCAGCUCCUCAAUAAGAGACAUGUCUACCCCAUAAGCUGAAUACUGCCCCAAUUGUUGAUAAUCGUGGACACACAGUGCACGGAUAGAAGUACAAGAUUCAAGCCCACUCGAUACACAAGUCUUUAGUCCAUCACAAUCUUCAAUGGUCAAUUCACGAAAGGAUGUGCAUUCAUGUAAACCUGAAAUUGACUCCAGACUUUUGCACGACCUUAAAGACAACACCUGUAGAGGGGUAUAGCAUUCUGGUAGACUUUGCAGGUCCAUUAAUCUUAAUCCACCACAUGAACUAAUCUUCAAUCCUCGAAGGGAUGUUGCACCAUGAACUGAAAUGGACAUCAGACUAUCGCAGCAACUUAUUUCCAAAUUUUCAAGAUAUGGACAUUUUAUGGACAACUCCUUAAGAGAAACUCGGCCGUACAAUUCUGGUCCACUAUGCAGGCUCGUUGAUGUUAAUUUACCACCACGUGAACUAAACAACAAUUUCUGGAUGGAUGUCAAACCAAAUAAUGAAAGGGAUCUAAGUUUGUCGCAGUUGCUUAUUUCCAUAUUCUCAAGAGAGGUACACUUUUCUACCAGACUUGUUAGGUUUGACAGCUCGUGACAAAUACUCAUAUCCAACUUAUGAAGGGAUGCAAAAUGAUCAGGAAAAUUUCUCAUUUGUGGACACUCCACGAGAUCCAACUCCUCAAGGCGAGGAAACACCGAUAUUUGUUUUUCUUUCACCACUGGUGGUUCAAUCCAUUCGAUCAAAUUUGGGGCCGCAGUAAUUCUGAACGUCUUCAAUGCAGGAUACAAAACCUUGGUCUUCAUUGCAUCAUCAACGUCAUCAUAGCCAUAAAACUCAUCUCCCAAACUUUUUAGAUUACACAUUGUAUUAAACUCAAGAUGCAUAAGACUAGGUAGAUGGCCAAGCAUGGGGGCUUCUUCACAUACGUCGCACUGAAUUAAUCGAAUUUUUUUCAAGUUGUUGUGCGGCUUCCAAUAUGGAAAUUUAGCACCCAUGAAAUUGUAAAUCUCUAAAAUUUCCAAAUUUGGGUGUGGCUGGAGGCCUUGGAGAACAUCUUCUUCGCUGUUGCUGUGUGGCCUCAUUUCCUCACCCCAUACAAGUGAUAACUUUCGUAUGUUUCUCUUUUCAACUAAAUUUGAUUUCUUCGCUUCUUCUCCAUCCCUCACAUGUUCCAAAUCAUAAAUAGCCAAUUCACCUUUCAAGUGAUUUAAGCCAGCCAAUUCCUCAAUUCCACGACCGAUUCCAUCAGAACUCACAAUAAAAUGAGGCAUUUUUCGAAGAUUAGUCAAUUGCUCGACCCCAACAUGAGAUUCCCUGUACCAACCAAAAUUAGCACGUUUCUUUUUUUGGACAGGACCAAAAUAGAUAUGUCUCAAGUUGAUCAAAUCUCCAAUUUCCUUAGGAAACACCUUCAGUAGUCGACAAUACUCCAUUCUUAAUGUCUGUAAGUUAUGGAGCUUGCCGACAGAUUUGGGGAUUGCUUUGAUCUUUGUCCUAGAAACGUUUAAAUACCUCAACUGCUUCAUCUUCUCAAUUGAUUUCGGCAGCUCCUUAAUAUCAGCAUUGUAAAGAUUCAAGACAUGUAAACCCCUAAACCUUGGCAACAUGUUACUAGGAACUUCACUAUUAGAAAACAAUGAGCGCAAUCCCCUUAAACUUUUUUUUGGUAUCAAUUCCAAAACCGAAGUAGGAAUGUGCGAAGCAUGUCGAAUCUUCAGUGUGCCAACCAUCUCAUAAGAAUUCGAUGUCGCGCUAUCAGAUUUUGAUACAAGUUCUGCAAAAUCAUGCACAAGAAUGUGCAUCUUGCAUUUGGCAACAACACCAAAGGCAUCCUUCGUAAGAUCUUGAAGUAAGGAGUUUUGCAACAGAAUAUGAAAAUACUCCGUGCCUAUAUCCUCCAUCUCUAGAUCACUAUUCUCGGAAGAAGGGUGAAGCAAUCCUUGAGCCAUCCACAGUUGGAUUAGGUCAUCCCUUUCCAUUUCAAAGCCUUCCUUGAACAUUGAGCAAUAAGUGAAGCAUUGUUUCAAAAUUGGGAAUUUCAAAUUAUCCAAACUCAACUUCAAUCCCGAGAUGAUCAUCUGUUCUGCUUCUGGAGAGUCCCAUAUUUUACUGUCUAGAAUUGCUGACCAUUCACUUGCAUCAUUCUUAGAACACAACAUUCCUCCGAAAACCUGUUGGUUCAUAUAUAGUUAGAUUUGUUGUUAAAUAAUUCAUAGGUUGCAUAACCGAUUAUAACAAUAAAAACAUCAAUUUGUAGUUUGACAGAAGCUGACUAAUACGUGCACAUUGUUUUGUAUUGAUGCAGACUAUAACUUGGCUUGUCCAUACAAAUGUUUCAUUUAAACUUUUUAACAUUUCAGUUGACUUCCUAUACAGUUUAAUCGACUAUAACUUGGUGUUGUUAACUUUUUAACUUUUUAACAUUUCAUUUAAACUAUAACUUGGUGUUGUUAACAUUUCAGUUGACUUCCUCUACAAUUUAGAUUUCACAUGUGUGGCUGAGAUGAGAGAAUAGUAAAUCUAACACAAACAUUUUAAUCGACGUGAGAAAUAUAUUUUAUUUAAAUUGGUUCACAAUGAUCAAGUUUUGGUGGCUAUAAUAAAUUUGUGACUAUCAACCUAGAAGAUCUAUAAUGCAACAGUAGAAGUACAUGGGUGAAGAGAAGGAGCAAUGGCCUUUUUUAAUGACCUUUAUGCACUUCUACAUUCUUUUUAUUUUUACUAGCCAUUUAGUUGAUAAAGAGAAUGUUAGGACCCUGAUAAAGUUAAUGGGUCAAUAUAUGUAAGAAGGUUAAUGAGUCACUUAAGCCCACUAAGGAGAAUACUAUGUAUCAAGAUGAAUGGGUGUCCAGUGAUCAACAAUCAUUACCGUCUAAGGGAGUGUAUCUAGAAAAAUGGUCAAGUCUAGUCGGACUAUCACGAAUGUUUAGGAAAGACAAUUUGUCAUUAUAACACAUUUAUUGUAGCUCAUUAGCUGGCCAAUGUCCAAGUUAAAGACGAGAACAUGAGUACGUGUAAUGCUUGCGGGACAAAGACAUUGGUUUCAUGAGAGUUUCAAUGUCUCGUCGGUGUUUUGGGAAGUCUACAUUGUUAUUGGAAAACAAUGAUGGCGUAUCUCUCAUCUAAGAUAGUCAUAUCUUGUUUAACACCCGGAGUCCGGAUAUGAGCUAGCCAACAUUAUAUGUAUCAUAUCCAGCCAACAUUAUAUGAAACAAAGUCCUCCAUGCACUGUGGGAGACCGAAAGAAUUGAACAAACCUUUACAGUGUUAGAUAAGAUAAAAAUUUGUGGAAAUGUUCAUGAUAUCAAGAUGGGCCAUUUUAUUUGAAGCUAAUCGUUUCAUGGUCAAGGAACUGUUGCAUUUGACAGAGUUGAUACAAUAUUGUGGUGAUAAUGCCAAGUCGUCUGAUGCCUCGCUAAUCCGAGGAAGCAAGAUUAUUAUUGGACGAAGGCAAAGUUGUUCAGUAGAUGAAUUAAACAACUUUUUGGGUCUUUGUUCAGUAGUAUUAUAUGCAUUAGAAUCAUGAAGGAAAAAGUUGUUCGGUUGGAGGCUAAUGUGCUUGUGGGAUGCUAGAGAAUUUGGAAAUUUUUCAUUUUCACCAAGGUUAUAUUUGGGGAAAUAUUCAGCAAUUGAUGACAAGUUUGCACUUGUUUUGGUUGUAGCUACCACGCUAAUACUUGGACAAAGGCAGAGCUUAUUGGGUCUAACUUAGCAUAAACUACAAUUACGGCAUGAAGACAUGCCUUUAUUUUGGGGGUAGGAUUGUUAGGAUGCUGGGAUUUACGGCUCAAAAGUAGGAUGAUGCAAAAAUUAGGUUUGUGUUACCUAUUUCAUUUUGGUGUCUUCUUUUAGUUUGGAUUUGAUUUUUUGGUUGGAUUCCUCGCUUGAUGGAGAGAUUUUGUUGAUUAACAUUUGAUUAGGAUUUUGAUUUACUUCCAAUUAGGAUUAGAAUUCUCAUUGUAACCUAAGUCCUAUGCACUAUAAAAACACUAUAAAUAGGACCUUAGGUUUUGGUUUAUUUUGUGUGCCAACACCAUUAUUUUAGAGAGUUUUCUCUCAUUGGGUUUUGGGUAGAGGUCACAGUUUGGAGUCAUGAUUGUGUGGCAAAUUCAUGGCUUAUUCUUUGGCAAUUUGGUGAGAAUCAGUUUGUGAGUUAGAAAACAAUUUGGGAGAAUCUUCUCCGUAUGUUUGGGUUCUUUACUCUUGUGGUUUAGGGUUUGUAAUUUGUGGGAUUUGGGUUAUGACAGUUAAACACUCUUUUGUAAUCUCCAUUUGUUUAGUGAAAUUCCUCGCCGUGCUUCACCUGUGGACGUAGGCUUUACACCGAACCAUAUUAAAUCGCUUGUGUUCUUAUUUUGAGAUUGUUUAUUUAGUUUUCGCCUAUGAUGUUGAUAUUUGGUAUUUUGUUAGGAUCUGCUUCCAUUUGAGCAUAAAAGUACAACAAGUGGUAUCAGAGCCCAGGUUUCGACUUGGGUUUUGCUUACCAAUCACUAUGAAGCCUUCUGUAUUGUUGGUGAAAGUUGAUAUCGAAAAGUUCGACGACAAUGACUUUGGUAUUUGGCAAUUGAAGAUGCGUGCUUUGUUAGUUCAACAAAGGGUUUUGAAAACACUAAAGGGUGUGAAGGCUUUGCCGUAUUCGUGGACCGAAUAGGAAAAGGAAGACAUUAUGGAGCAGGCACUUGGAGCAAUCCUGCUGACUUUAUCUAAUGAUGUCUUGCGUGAAGUUGGUAACACCAAAUCUAUACCGGAGUUCUCAAAUUAGAGAGUUUAUAUAUGACAAAACCCCUUGCUAAACGGUUGUAUUUUAAGAAAAGUUUGCAUACUCUUCGAAUGGAUGAAGGUAUAUCAAUUCAUAAGCAUGUUGAUGAUUUCAAUAAACUUAUGAUGGAUUUGAAAAGCGUGGACGACCAAAUUAGUGAUGAUGAUUAUACGAUAACUUUGUUAUGUUCUUUAUCUCCUUCGUAUGAACACUUUGUCGAUACCAUGCUAUUUGGUAGAGAAAGUCUUAGUUUGGAAGAUGUUAAAGCCUCUUUGAAUUCUAAAGAGCUAAAGAAUAAAGUGUAUGACACGCAAGAUGGAGCUUUGGUAGUUCAAGGAAAGAAUAAGAAAAUGGGCAAAUUUGGAAAGAACACUCGUAGCUAUUGUUAUAAGGAGGGUCAUUAGAAAGUAGAUUGCCCUAAACUCAAGGGCAAAAAGAAGCUAUUUGAUAAGUCUUUUGCUACUGUUGAGGCAAACAUUGCAAAAGAUUGUUGUUUUGAAUUCCUCUAAAUGUUAUGUGAUGAGGAGGUGGAGCUUGGUACUCAAGCUCUUUUGGUGGAGUGCAAUUCGCACUUUUGGUUAUAUGUUCAAGCUUUUUUUGGAUUUUGUUUCAUAUUUGUUAGUUUCAGUAAUGAAAUUUGUUGGAGAAGGCGUUGGAGGAUAUUUUUAAGUUUGAAGCGUUUUGGAUUUUUUGAGUCUAGGUGGAGAUUAGUUCUUUGAAGAAUUUGGUGAUCAUUUUUGCACUUGUAAUUUGGUACCCCAAAUUGGAGUUUGUAUUUGAUUUGGAAGUUUCGCUAAUUUCUUGCCGAGGUGGAGAUUGUUGGGAUUUACGACUCAAAAUUAGGAUGAUGCAAAAAUUAGGUUUGUGUUACCCAUUUCGUUUUGGUUUCCUAUUUGAGUUUGGAGUUAAUUUCUUGGUUGGAUUCCUUGCUUGGUGGAGAGAUUUUAUUGAUUACCUAUUUGAUUAGGAUUUGGAUUUACUUCCAAUUAGGACUAGGAUUUUCAUUAUAACAUAAAUCCUAUGCACUAUAAAUAGGACCUUAGGGUUGGUUUAUUUUGUGUGCUAACACCGUUAGUUUAGAGAGUUUUCUCUCACUAGAUUUUGGGUGUAGGUCACAUUUGGAGUCAUGAGUGUGGCAAAUUCAUGGCUCAUUUGUUUGGCAAUUUGGUGAUAAUCAAUUUGUGAGUUAGAGAACAAUUUGGGAGAAUCUUCUCCAUCUUUUUUGGGUUCUCUAAUCGUUUGGUUUAGGGUUUGUAAUUUGUGGGAUUUGGGUUGUGAGAGUUAAACACUCUUUUGCAAUCUCUGUUUGUUUAGUGAAAUUCCUCGUUGUGCUUUGACUAUGGACGUAGGCUUUGAGCUGAAUCAUGUUAAAUCUCUUGUGUUCUUAUUUUUUAGAUUGUUUAUUUUAGUUUUUGGCUACAAUGUUGAUGUUUGAUAUUUAGUAUUUUGAUGACAAGUUUGCACUUGUUUUGGUUGUAGCUACCACGCUAAUACUUGGACAAACGCAGAGCUUAUUGGGUCUAACUUAGCAUAAACUAUUUUGCCACUUAGUAUUACGGUCUAGUGUUAUUUAUCUUCACUUAUAAGUGAGAGGUUUUAGGUUCGAUUCUCACAAAAAACAAGUUUGAACCACAUUAUUGCUAACUCAUUAUGAGGCUAGGCCCACCUCCUCCCUUUAACGUAGAUAAUAUUGUUUGUUCCCGAGGAAAAAAAAACUUAGCAUAAACUACAAUUACAGCAUGAGGACAUGCCUUUAUUUAUGGGGUAGAAUUGUUAGGACCCUAUAACAAUAUUUAGUGCCCAAUAUAUGUAACAGGGUUAAUGGGUCACCUAGGCCCACUAAGGAGAGUACUAUAUAUUUUUGAAUUGUCUUGCAUAAAUGAAGAAUAUUGUUAUUUAAUUUCUUUUUCUUUUUUUCUUUUUUUCCUUUCUUUCUGGUUCCAUUAGAGAAUCAAAUGAUAAAAUAAAGUAGAGGAGUGCAUAAGAUCAAAGGGAAGUGCGGAAAUUACUUCGUUUAGUAUGUGGGCUGAAGUUAAAAUUAUAACAAAUUAGAUUUCAAACAAAAUAGUGUAAACUUUAAAUAAAAAUAAUAAAAAAUAAAUACUACUUACCUUUGCCACAGAUGGUAAACCUGCACAUUCUUUGGCAAUCUUUCUUCCAACUUCUUCUAGAUCAGGAUCUGUAGGAGUAGUAUCAUCUACAAAUGCUCUUCCCUUUAAUAUGGACCAGCAUUCGUCUUCCGAUAGAAAUCCCAAAUCAUAGCGAGGAAGUGUUCCCGUAAUUGUUGCAAAUUGGGAAUUACAUGUAGUGACAAGUAUGGUGCUCCCCCGUGCAAAAUGGAGUUUUGACAAACAGCUCAUCAGUUUGCUCCAUUUUUCAGAGUCUUCAUUCCAAACGUCAUCGAGUACAAGAAGACAUCUUUUCUCUGUCAACCGUUCUCGGAGGCUUUUAAGCACUGCCUCCUGACUUUGUGUAUCAACCGUUCCACAUUUAACAUAUUCCAAGAUUCGAUUCAGAAUUGAAUCAACGUCAAAUGUAUUGGAUACAUAUAUCCACAUUUUCUCUUCAAAGUGUGUACUUAUCUCAUCUUUAGUAAAAACCAACUUGGCCAAAGUAGUUUUUCCCAAACCGGGCAUUCCCACAAUGGCCAUAACCGAAAGAUUUUCUUGAUUGACUUCGGAACUGGUCAAGGUUGCAAGUAUAUUUGACGCGGCCUCAUCUCUGCCAACGAUGAUUUCAUCCCCAAUUGAUGAAUUGGUUUCUCUGAUCGAUCUCAUUGCUUGAGAAGGUGCAGAAACUAGUUCCUUAAUAGGCGCACAAUUCUUGAGAUCCACCAAGGACGCGUUGAUUUUCUUGAUUUGAUGUGCUGCUUUAAGACGAAAUGCAACGGGAUUAGAGAGCGAAAUGAAGUUGAGUACCUUUCUCUUCAAAAGGUUUUGUAUUUGUAGCUUAUGGCGGAGAACUUCAUAGUUGAUGUCCUCCAAGACAUCAUCAGCAUCAUUAGCCACGUCUUUAAGUUUCUCCACCCACACCGCAUCAGCAUCAUCAGCAGCAUCACGUGUGAUAUCUUGAAUCAGGGAUAAUGUUUCAUGCAGCCCUGUCAGUUUUGCUUCAAGUCCCCAAGAACGGACGAGCGGUUCAGCAGCAAGUGAAGCCGCCUUUGCAAGCAUUCCCUCAGCAGUAAAACUAAAUAUCCUUGCCAUAUCCUUCCUUUAGUACACAAAAGACAGAGCAGAUUAAUACUCAGCUAGUUAAGGAAAGUAGAUGAAAAAAUCGAGACUAAGAAUCUAAGAGCCAUCAACAACAAUUUGUGAUUCGGAACUAACCUGGGUUUAGGAUCUGAAUUAGUACACUUAAAAGUGAGGAAGGACGGGGAGAGGCCUUAAUCGAGAGGCCUUGGACUCGUGGUUGUGGAGAAAUAGAUUGAGUUCUUGGCGAGAGAGAGAGAGAAUUGAAGUGUGGGAGUAGCAGAGAGAGGACACGGAAGUUAAUGAAAAUGUUAGGAAAAUUCGUUUCCCCUCCCACCCUUUUGUAAUUUUAUAAAUUGGAAACUUCAUUAUAAUUCUUGGCAAAUAUGACUUUUACAAUAAAACAAUGAGUAAGAUCAAAAUCUAAUUUUAGUCCCUUGAUACAUUAAUUAUUAUUCUUUUUUUCUUCCUAAUUUUAAUGUAUUAAUUAGAUUUCAUUAUAAUUAUAAUUUUCAUUUCAUUCAUUGUAAUAUAUUUUAGUGUAAACAUUUAGAUAAACUAAUUUUUGUUAUACAACAUAUUUCGAUAUACUUUGUUUUCUUCAUUGAGAUACAUUAAAUUCAUUAUAAUACAUAUCGGUGAAUACAUUUAGGUACACAUAUUUCGGUGCAUACAUUUAGGUACACACAUUUCGGUACAUACAUUUCGGUACAUACAUUUCAAUACAAACAUGUGGGUACAUUACAUUUCGGUACAUACAUUUUUGGUACUAAUAUUUCAGUGCAUACAUUUCGGUACACAUAUUUAGGUACAUUAAUUUAAUAUUGUACAUUUCGAUACUAACAUUUAUGUACAUUAAUUUAAUAUAUUAUAUUUCGGUACUAACAUUUAAAUACAUUAAUUGAGUCUUUCAAGUUUGAAAAACGUUAAAUAAAAUUAAUAAAUUAAAAACUUUUUUUUUAGUCAAAAAAUAAAUUUAAAUGUGUAUAUUAAUAAAUUUUAAUAUUUAAUGGGAGACAUUGAAUAAAAUACACAUUAAUUAAUAGACAAACUCAUGGACCACUUCUAUCGAUUUUAAAUCUCAAUGACCAUUUUGAAUAAAAAUUAAUUUAUGAUUGCUUUAAAUAUUCUGGGUCUUGCUUUGAUACAGAAGAAGAGAACUAGUGCUAUGCUCGGAAAAGUUGGUCAAAACUUCAGUAUGGAGCCUUCAAAUUGGCUAUACCUAUAUUCCAAGGGUAGAAAGAGAGUGACAGAAACAGAGGAAAGGAAAUAAAGAGAAAGAGAUGAGAGGGAGGAAAGGAAUAUGGAGAUGAAAUGUAAGAAGAGUGGAAGGAAAGAAAGAAAUAAUAGAGAAGAGUGGGAGGAAAGAAAGAGGUAAAGAAUAAAGAAGAAAUUCAUAAAGAAUAGAGAAGAGUGGGAGGAAAGAAAGAGAUAAAGAAGAAAGAAGAAAUUUAGAAAGAGAUUAAGAAGAGAAGAAAAGAAAGAAUAGUGAAGAGUGGGAGGAAAGAAAUAGGUAAAGAAGAAAGAAGAAAUUCAGAAAGAAUAGAGAGGAGUGGGAGGAAAGAAAGAGGUAAAGAAGAAAGAAAAAAAUUCAGAAAGAAUAGAGAAGAGUGGGAGGAAAGAAAGAGAUAAAGAAGAAAGAAGAAAUUCAGAAAGAAGAGUGGGAGGAAAGAAAAAGAUAAAGAAGAAGAAAUUCAAAAAGAACAGAGAAGGGUGGGAGGAAACCCAUCCCCAAGACGGCUAGGUCGGGGAAAAACCCCAAGUUGCUUCCAAAUCCAAAGGCAUAGCUUUUAGGAUUUUAAUUUUUAAAUAUUAUUGUUUUUAAAUAUUUUAAAUUUUUUUAAUAUCCUCAAGGGCCCAUAUUGACAUGUGACGACCAGUCAUUAUCCACGUGGGCGCCACGUCAUUAGUUAACAGAGAUUCUGACGGAAAACUUAAUGGACAUAUGAAAAUGUCCCAAAUUAUGACUUUAGGUACCAGACUAGGACUAAAAAAACUUGACGUAUGAAAUGUUGAAUACCACUAAAAUUUAGGAUAGUAUAUUGAGUUUAAUCUUCUUCUUUUUUAACAAUUAAAUCUAAAAUAUCAUGGAACCCCCUUAGUAUUAGGGUUUAUUGAUAUUUUUCUUCGAUACCAAUUUAUUCCGUCGUCCAUUUAAUAUAUGUAUAAAAAUUCUAAAUUAUCUUGAGAGUUUUGAAGGUUCCUUGUACAACAUAUCACCUCCAUUACUCGCAUUUGUGAUGGACAUGAGUGUAGUGGAAUGGUCACUAUAUAUGAGUACACUCGGUGCCUUUUAUUUGAGGUUCUAAACUCAUCUCAAACAACGCUAAAUAAAUUUAAAUGAAAUUGACUUCAAAUAACGUAAAAGUUAUUCGUGGUGAGUCACUUUUUAUUUAUAAUUCUCUUAUAUGACUACUAACCAAAGUGUAGAGAUAACUCAUAAAUCGGAAAGAUUUUUAGGGGUUUUUUGAACUUUAAUCCUUGAAGAAGAUUAAAAUUUAAUAAAAACCUGGUAUUAGAUUGGAUAUUGAUUUUAGUCCUUAAAUGUGUAUUUAAUUCAAAUUCAUCUUAUAUUUUUUAAUAUUUAAUAGUUAUCUUAUUUAAUGUCAUUACUUUAAAUUUUAAAUUUAUUAUCAUUAAUCUUAUUUAACUUCCUCUAAUUAGUGUAUCUGUAACAUCCCACAUCGCCCAGGGGAGUGAUCCUUAAAUGUAUAUUUUCAUCCCUACCUAGCACGAGGCCUUUUGGGAGCUCACUGGCUUCGGGUUUCGUAGGAACUCUGAAGUUAAGCGAGAAGGAGGUCAGAGCACUCCCAGGAUGGGUGACCCACUGGGAAGUUGCUCGUGAGUUCCCAAAAACAAAACCGUGAGGGAAUGGCAAGCCCAAAGCGGACAAUAUCGUGCUACAGUGGUGGAGAUGGCCCGGGAAGUGAUCCGCCCCGAGCCGAGAUGUGACAGUAUCUAAACGUCCAUAUCAUAAUAUAUUUUACCAAAUUAGUGUACCAAAAUAUCCGUAUCUAAAUAUAUUAUAGUGAAUUAGUAGCACAUAAGAAAAUAUUAUACACAUUUUAAUUCAUUACUUUAAAUUUUAAAUUUAUUAUUAUACACAUUUUAAUUCAUUAAUUUUAUUUAACUUCCUCUAAUUGACAGUAUCUAAACGUCCAUAUCAUAAUAUAUUUUAGCAAAUUAGUGUACCGAAAUAUCUGUAUCUAAAUAUAUUAUAGUGAAUUAGUAGCACAUAAGAAAAUAUUAUACACAUUUUAAUUCAUUACUUUAAAUUUUAAAUUUAUUAUUAUACACAUUUUAAUUCAUUAAUUUUAUUUAACUUCCUCUAAUUAGUGUAUCUAAACGUCCAUAUCAUAAUAUAUUUUAGCAAAUUAGUGUACCGAAAUAUCUGUAUCUAAAUAUAUUAUAGUGAAUUAGUAGCACAUAAGAAAAUAUGCAAAAUCAUAAGAAAAUAUAUUAUAGUGAAUUAUUAUACACAUUUUAUAUUGAUUUUUUAUAAAGAUAAUAAGACAAAAAACAAUAGUAAUAUAAAAUGUUGACGUGGCUUAACCGUGACCGCACAAAUAGGAGAGGAUGAGAGUGUAUGAGAAGUGGGAGGGCAGAGAAGUCAGGUCCAUUCCAAAUUGGUGUUGGGCAGAAUAGAAGUCUGCCAUCAGACUUGUGUGGAAUGGUCAACAACUUGAAAGUAAUUCCACAAAAAAAUAAACAGCUUGGAAGUAACUCCAAAGCUACAAAGGACUCUAAUCCCUUUUAUUCUUGAAACUGAAUCAAAAUAACUUAUAUUAUUUUUGAAAUUGAUCAAAAAUAAGCCACACUUCCAAGAAAGACGGAAAGGUUCGAAUGUGCGUUGACUACAGGGAUCUGAACAAAGCAAGUCCUAUCCACGUAGAAUACCCUCUUCCUCGUAUUGACGUUCUAGUCGAUAAUACAGCAGGAAAUCGGAUGUAUUCAUGGGCAGUUUCUUAGGAUACAAUCUGAUGUUGAUAGCAGAGUCAGAUGAGGAGAAACUCACAUGUCACAUCCACAACAUCCUGGGGAACCUACUGUGACAAAGUAAAACCUUUCAGAUUAAAGAAUGCCAUAGCAACCUAUCAAAGAGCCAUGCUAGGAAUAACCAAUUCAUGGGGCCGUUGCCUGUAGAUCGUUUUUUUUUUUACAUUCCUAGUUGAAGUGAAUUUUCUAAAGAUAAAAUGGAUUAUGGGAGUGUGUGACUUGAACUAUUGAUUGGGCCUUCCAGAUUGGACACAAACAAGCACACCUGCUAAGAAGUAUCGUUAAUUUCUGCAUUCUCGUUCCAAGUUCAAAGUACCAUUUGUACAAAUAAGAAUCCCCUUCGUUAUAUGAUUUCUUCUUCAUAAAGAUAGAUAUAGGAUCUAUGGAGCAAUUACUUAGAAUUACAAAACUUAGUUAACGCUACCAUCUUACUUUUAGUAAGCAAGCGUUUCAAUUCCCCGAAAGCUCAUGUAAUGCCUUAUCGAGCCAGUCCAAAUCAUGCGUUUAUGAUCCCGGCAUGCGGAGGGCAAGUAUCUCUUGUCGCCUGAUCUCAGUACAUCUAUAUUAAGCUUACGGCACACUUCCGUUAAGGUCUAUUUCUUAUUGAAUUAACCGAUCAACUUAACUUGUUUUGUUAUCGAACAUUUAUUUUUUAUUUCAGUAAUUUUUGCAAAAAAUUUUGACAUAUUUUAUUAUAAUGUGAAAUUCUUUUUGCUUUCCACAGGAACCAGGAGAUUGGAUCUAGCUGUAAGAAGAAUGCUUGGCUAAUUCUCGGUAAACAAAAGCCUACAUAGCUGUUCCAAUGCUACGCCUUGAACCACUCGACCACUUCUCCUUCCUCUAGAUUCAUUGUAUGCUUUGGAUUUUUUAUCAAUUGCAUUGACCUUUUUUUUUUUCUAGGUGACGGCACCUGGAACCGCACAACUUCUGCUGCCCUUUGGGCACGCCUCAUAUGCUCUUGCGGCAUGCCCUCUUCGGGCAAUACGGCUUUCGUGAGUAAUACGGGAAGCAGCUGAGCAAUGAGAUACGAUAGCAUGGUAGAAAGAUUCAAAUAUUUCUUUCUACCAUACUAUUUAGUAUUGUAAAUUAUAGAAUUACAUCAAAAUUACACACUAUUUCUGAAACUAAACAAAAAUAGCCGUACUAUUUUUUAAACUGAACCAAAAUAAUCUACAUUAUUUCUGGAAGUGAACCAAAUAAACAUUAUUUAUGAAGUUACAACAAAAUAACCUAUACUAUUUCUGAAACUGAAUCAAAAUAAUAACCACACUAUUUUUGGAAUUGCAGCAAAAUAACUCAUAUUAUUUCUAAAAUGGAACAAAAAUAAUUCACACUAUUUUUUGAACUAUAAUAAAAUAACCGAUACUAAUUUUGAAACUACAGCAAAAUAACAAUACUAUUUCAAAAACUGAACAAAAAUAAUCCACACUAUUUCUUAAAGUGAACAAAAUAAACACUAUUUCUAAAAAUACAACAAAAUAAGAAUGAGGUUGAACUACAAACACCCAAAACAGAUCCAAAAAAAAAUCCAUCUUCUUUCCCAAAACUAAAAACAAAAAGAAAAUUAAUUACCAAAUAACUGUUAAUGUGCCAAAUGUAUAGAGAAACAGAGAUUAAUUGGGGGAAAUUCCAUUUCUAGAAAAUUGUUGCAAAAAUAUAUAUAAUUUGAUAAUUUAAUUAAUUAAAAAAGUUGGGAGGAGUUGGAGAGAAUUAGAAGCUUCCACUUGUUGUCACGGUUUAUAUGCAGAGGGCAAGAUGCAACUGAGGUAAAGUCUAUAUCUCCUACACAGGCAUACAGCCUUCCCUGGUUUUGCAUCUUCAGAUUUCAGAAGGCAUACAAGUUAUCUGCCGCCUGACUUAUGGGAUAAAUUGCCAUUCUAAGUUUCAUACCAACCGAAGGCUGUCCAUAAGAAUGGAAGGCGAUCCCCAUCCCUUUACCGAACUAAGAAACAUGGCUUCCAUGUCAGUAUCGACCCAUGGAGACUGAUAAAGUUGAGCAAAGAGAAAGCAUUGACAGCAGCAGAGAAAGGAUUUGAACCACUACCGUUAGAGACCAAAUGUGGACCACCGAUGAUGAGCACACAUAAUAAAAGCGCGGCCACUGCAGGAUCAGGCUUAACACCUCUGAUAUCCAAAGGGUGGAUGCCAUGGUCACCCGGCGGAAAGUUUUGAAGCCCAAGAAGGCGGUUUUCUGGCUCACCAACCAUGUUCUUUGGCUUUGUGCCCUCACCAAAGAACAAGUAGAGAGAAAAAAAAAAAGUACAAGUGGAGAUAAUUUUGACUUGAAAUUGACAGAGG